ACACGCAUGACACACUGCAUAUCAAUAAGCGGAGGAAAAGAAACUAACAAGGAUUCCCCUAGUAACGGCGAGUGAAGCGGGAAGAGCUCAAAUUUGAAAUCUUAAAGGGUUUCCCUUGACGAAUUGUAGUUUAAAGAAGUGUUUUCUGUUAGAGAGGUGGUAAAAGUUCUUUGGAAUAGGACAUCAUAGAGGGUGAGAAUCCCGUAUUUGAUCACUUUCUACUAACGUUGUGAUACACUUUCAAAGAGUCGGAUUGUUUGGGAAUGCAGUCCAAAAUGGGUGGUAAAUUUCAUCUAAAGCUAAAUACUGGCGAGAGACCGAUAGCGAACAAGUACCGUGAGGGAAAGAUGAAAAGAACUUUGAAAAGAGAGUUAAACAGUACGUGAAAUUGUCAAAAGGGAAGCGUUUGACACCAGUGUUGUUUUCUCGAAAAUCAAUUAAAAAUGGUGGGAUUUUGUGUUGUAUUGACCUUAUAAGCUUUCUGCACUCUUUUCUUGUCUUUUUUAAUGCACUUUUCGUUUAACAAGUCAACAUCAAUUUCUUUUGUUGUAAUAGAGUCAUUGGAAGGUGGCUUUCUUUUCGGAGAAAGUGUUUAUAGCCUUUGAUCUCUGCAGCUCGGAGAGACUGAGGUCUGCAGCGUAGACUCUUCGGGGUUAGAUACAUUUGUGCUAAGCUAUAGCCUUUUAUAGACAACUUGUUGACUAUGAUUAGUCAUUGUAGCUUACUCGCUUAGUGCUAUUUUACCUACGCUUAGGAUGUUGACUGAUAUGUAGUCGUA
rnacentral:rRNA from 1 species